CGCGUAGGCGGUCCGACAAGUCAGGGGUGAAAUCCUGCAGCUUAACUGCAGAAGUGCCUUUGAUAUUGUCGGCCUUGAGGGAGAUAGGGGUGUGCGGAACUCACAGUGGAGCGGUGAAAUGCGUUGAUAUUGUGAGGAACGCCGGAGGCGAAAGCGGCGCACUGGAUCUCUUCUGACGCUGAGGCGCGAAAGCUAGGGGAGCAAACG
rnacentral:rRNA from 1 species